rnacentral:rRNA from 1 species
UGGUGCUUGCAUCAUGAUUUACAUUUGAGUGAGUGGCGAACUGGUGAGUAACACGUGGGAAACCUGCCCAGAAGCGGGGGAUAACACCUGGAAACAGAUGCUAAUACCGCAUAACAACUUGGACCGCAUGGUCCGAGUUUGAAAGAUGGCUUCGGCUAUCACUUUUGGAUGGUCCCGCGGCGUAUUAGCUAGAUGGUGGGGUAACGGCUCACCAUGGCAAUGAUACGUAGCCGACCUGAGAGGGUAAUCGGCCACAUUGGGACUGAGACACGGCCCAAACUCCUACGGGAGGCAGCAGUAGGGAAUCUUCCACAAUGGACGAAAGUCUGAUGGAGCAACGCCGCGUGAGUGAAGAAGGGUUUCGGCUCGUAAAACUCUGUUGUUAAAGAAGAACAUAUCUGAGAGUAACUGUUCAGGUAUUGACGGUAUUUAACCAGAAAGCCACGGCUAACUACGUGCCAGCAGCCGCGGUAAUACGUAGGUGGCAAGCGUUGUCCGGAUUUAUUGGGCGUAAAGCGAGCGCAGGCGGUUUUUUAAGUCUGAUGUGAAAGCCUUCGGCUCAACCGAAGAAGUGCAUCGGAAACUGGGAAACUUGAGUGCAGAAGAGGACAGUGGAACUCCAUGUGUAGCGGUGAAAUGCGUAGAUAUAUGGAAGAACACCAGUGGCGAAGGCGGCUGUCUGGUCUGUAACUGACGCUGAGGCUCGAAAGUAUGGGUAGCAAACAGGAUUAGAUACCCUGGUAGUCCAUACCGUAAACGAUGAAUGCUAAGUGUUGGAGGGUUUCCGCCCUUCAGUGCUGCAGCUAACGCAUUAAGCAUUCCGCCUGGGGAGUACGGCCGCAAGGCUGAAACUCAAAGGAAUUGACGGGGGCCCGCACAAGCGGUGGAGCAUGUGGUUUAAUUCGAAGCUACGCGAAGAACCUUACCAGGUCUUGACAUACUAUGCAAAUCUAAGAAGAUUAGACGUUCCCUUCGGGGACAUGGAUACAGGGGGGUGCAUGGUUGUCCUCACCUCCUGGCCUGAAAAUGUUGGGGUUAACUCCCCCCACC